rnacentral:rRNA from 1 species
GACCUCGGAUCAGGUAGGAAUACCCGCUGAACUUAAGCAUAUCAAUAAGCGGAGGAAAAGAAACCAACGGGGAUUGCCUCAGUAACGGCGAGUGAAGCGGCAAAAGCUCAAAUUUGAAAUCUGACCCUUCGGGUCCGAGUUGUAAUUUGCAGAGGAUGUUUCGGGUAAGAUUUAGGUCUAAGUUCCUUGGAACAGGACGUCAUAGAGGGUGAGAAUCCCGUACGUGACCGUUGAUCGCACCUAUGUGAAACUCCUUCGACGAGUCGAGUUGUUUGGGAAUGCAGCUCAAAAUGGGUGGUAAAUUUCAUCUAAAGCUAAAUAUUGGCCAGAGACCGAUAGCGCACAAGUAGAGUGAUCGAAAGAUGAAAAGCACUUUGAAAAGAGAGUUAAACAGUAUGUGAAAUUGUUGAAAGGGAAGCGCUUGCAACCAG